rnacentral:snoRNA from 1 species
AACCCAUGGUGAGGGCACCUUCGCAAAAGGUCCUUGUAUCUCUCCCAUGCAUCAGAGAGUGUUUGUAAAUCCAUCUGCACAAAAGAGGAGAUAUCAUUACGUAAUUU